rnacentral:rRNA from 1 species
CCUACGGGCGGCAGCAGUGAGGAAUAUUGGUCAAUGGCCGGAAGGCUGAACCAGCCAUGCCGCGUGAAGGUCAGUGCCCUAUGGGCGUUAAACUUCUUUUGUGCGGGAGCAAUAAUGGUCACGUGUGGCCAGACGAGAGUACCGUACGAAUAAGCAUCGGCUAACUCCGUGCCAGCAGCCGCGGUAAUACGGGGGAUGCAAGCGUUAUCCGGAUUUAUUGGGUUUAAAGGGUGCGUAGGCUGUGAGGUAAGUCAGCGGUGAAAUGCCCCCGCUCAACGGGGUGAAGUGCCAUUGAUACUGCCUGGCUGGAAUGCGGAUGCAGUGGGAGGAAUGUGUGGUGUAGCGGUGAAAUGCAUAGAUAUCACACAGAACACCGAUUGCGAAGGCAUCUCACGAAUCCGCGAUUGACGCUGAUGCACGAAAGCGUGGGUAUCAAACAGGAUUAGAUACCCUAGUAGUC